rnacentral:rRNA from 1 species
GAUGAACGCUGGCGGCGUGCCUAAUACAUGCAAGUCGAGCGAAUGGAUUGAGAGCUUGCUCUUAUGAAGUUAGCGGCGGACGGGUGAGUAACACGUGGGUAACCUGCCCAUAAGACUGGGAUAACUCCGGGAAACCGGGGCUAAUACCGGAUAAUAUUUUGAACUGCAUGGUUCGAAAUUGAAAGGCGGCUUCGGCUGUCACUUUAGUGGGAUGGAC